rnacentral:rRNA from 1 species
CCUACGGGAGGCAGCAGUGAGGAAUAUUGGUCAAUGGGCGAGAGCCUGAACCAGCCAAGUCGCGUGAGGGAGUACUGCCCUAUGGGUUGUAAACCUCUUUUGUCGGGGAGCAAAAGCCGGACGUGUCCGGCUGUGAGAGUACCCGAAGAAAAAGCAUCGGCUAACUCCGUGCCAGCCGCCGCGGGUAUACGGAGGAUGCGAGCGUUUUCCGGAUUUAUUGGGUUUAAAGGGUGCGCAGGCGGAUUUUUAAGUCAGCGGUAAAAACGUGGGGCUCAACCCCAUCCAGCCGUUGAAACUGGGGUGCUAGAGUGUGCGAGAGGUAUGCGGAAUGCGUGGUGUAGCGGUGAAAUGCAUAGAUAUCACGCAGAACCCCGAUUGCGAAGGCAGCAUACCGGUGCACAACUGACGCUCAGGCACGAAAGCGUGGGUAUCGAACAGGAUUAGAUACCCCUGUAGUC